rnacentral:rRNA from 1 species
AAUAUUGGACAAUGGGGGAAACCCUGAUCUAGCCAUCCCGCGUGUAUGAUUAAGGCAUUCUGUUUGUAAAGUACUUUUGUUAGAGAAGAAAAGGUACCUCCUAAUACGAGGUACUGCUGACUGUACCGGCAGAAUAAGCACUGGCUAACUACCUGCGAGCAGCUGCGGUAAUACGUAGGGUCCAAGCUUCAAUCGGAAUUACUGGGCGUAACGCGUGUGUAGGCGGUUCGGAAAGAAAGAUGUGAAAUCCCAGGGCUCAACCUUGGAACUGCAUUUUUAACUGCCGAGCUAGAGUAUGUCAGAGGGGGGUAGAGUUCCACGUGUAGCAGUGAAAUGCGUAGAUAUGUGGAGGAAUACCGAUGGCGAAGGCAGCCCCCUGGGAUAAUACUGACGCUCAGACACGAAAGCGUGGGGAGCAAACA